rnacentral:tRNA from 1 species
GUCCUGGUGGCACAGUGGUUAAAGCAAUUGACUGCUAAUCAAAAGUUCAGCAGUUCAAAACUGCCAAUGGCU